GGUUAAGCGACUAAGCGUACACGGUGGAUGCCCUGGCAGUCAGAGGCGAUGAAGGACGUGCUAAUCUGCGAAAAGCGCCGGCGAGGUGAUAUGAACCUUUGACCCGGCGAUGUCCGAAUGGGGAAACCCAGUGCAAUCCGUUGCACUAUCGUUAACUGAAUACAUAGGUUAACGAGGCGAACCGGGGGAACUGAAACAUCUAAGUACCCCGAGGAAAAGAAAUCAACCGAGAUUCCCCCAGUAGCGGCGAGCGAACGGGGAGCAGCCCGGAGUCUGAAUCAGCUUGUGUGUUAGUGGAACGGUCUGGAAAGUCCGACGGUACAGGGUGAUAGUCCCGUACACGAAAGCACACUUGCUGUGAACUCGAAGAGUAGGGCGGGACACGUGGUAUCCUGUCUGAAUAUGGGGGGACCAUCCUCCAAGGCUAAAUACUCCUGACUGACCGAUAGUGAACCAGUACCGUGAGGGAAAGGCGAAAAGAACCCCGGCGAGGGGAGUGAAAAAGAACCUGAAACCGUGUACGUACAAGCAGUGGGAGCCUCUUUAUGGGGUGACUGCGUACCUUUUGUAUAAUGGGUCAGCGACUUAUAUUCUGUAGCAAGGUUAACCGUAUAGGGGAGCCGAAGGGAAACCGAGUCUUAACUGGGCGUUAAGUUGCAGGGUAUAGACCCGAAACCCGGUGAUCUAGCCAUGGGCAGGUUGAAGGUUGGGUAACACUAACUGGAGGACCGAACCGACUAAUGUUGAAAAAUUAGCGGAUGACCUGUGGCUGGGGGUGAAAGGCCAAUCAAACCGGGAGAUAGCUGGUUCUCCCCGAAAGCUAUUUAGGUAGCGCCUCGUGAACUCAUCUUCGGGGGUAGAGCACUGUUUCGGCUAGGGGGCCAUCCCGGCUUACCAACCCGAUGCAAACUACGAAUACCGAAGAAUGUUAUCACGGGAGACACACGGCGGGUGCUAACGUCCGUCGUGAAGAGGGAAACAACCCAGACCGCCAGCUAAGGUCCCAAAGUCAUGGUUAAGUGGGAAACGAUGUGGGAAGGCACAGACAGCCAGGAUGUUGGCUUAGAAGCAGCCAUCAUUUAAAGAAAGCGUAAUAGCUCACUGGUCGAGUCGGCCUGCGCGGAAGAUGUAACGGGGCUAAACCAUGCACCGAAGCUGCGGCAGCGACACUAUGUGUUGUUGGGUAGGGGAGCGUUCUGUAAGCCGUUGAAGGUGUCUGUGAGGUGCUGGAGGUAUCAGAAGUGCGAAUGCUGACAUAAGUAACGAUAAAGCGGGUGAAAAGCCCGCUCGCCGGAAGACCAAGGGUUCCUGUCCAACGUUAAUCGGGGCAGGGUGAGUCGACCCCUAAGGCGAGGCCGAAAGGCGUAGUCGAUGGGAAACAGGUUAAUAUUCCUGUACUUGGUGUUACUGCGAAGGGGGGACGGAGAAGGCUAUGUCAGCCGGGCGACGGUUGUCCCGGUUUAAGCAUGUAGGCGGAGGUUCCAGGUAAAUCCGGUACCUUGUUAACGCUGAGGUGUGAUGACGAGGCACUACGGUGCUGAAGUGAUAAAUGCCCUGCUUCCAGGAAAAGCCUCUAAGCAUCAGGUAACACGAAAUCGUACCCCAAACCGACACAGGUGGUCAGGUAGAGAAUACCAAGGCGCUUGAGAGAACUCGGGUGAAGGAACUAGGCAAAAUGGUGCCGUAACUUCGGGAGAAGGCACGCUGAUAUGUAGGUGAAGCCCUGCGGACGGAGCUGAAAUCAGUCGAAGAUACCAGCUGGCUGCAACUGUUUAUUAAAAACACAGCACUGUGCAAACACGAAAGUGGACGUAUACGGUGUGACGCCUGCCCGGUGCCGGAAGGUUAAUUGAUGGGGUUAGCGGCAACGCGAAGCUCUUGAUCGAAGCCCCGGUAAACGGCGGCCGUAACUAUAACGGUCCUAAGGUAGCGAAAUUCCUUGUCGGGUAAGUUCCGACCUGCACGAAUGGCGUAAUGAUGGCCAGGCUGUCUCCACCCGAGACUCAGUGAAAUUGAACUCGCUGUGAAGAUGCAGUGUACCCGCGGCAAGACGGAAAGACCCCGUGAACCUUUACUAUAGCUUGACACUGAACACUGGUCCUUGAUGUGUAGGAUAGGUGGGAGGCUUUGAAGCGUGGACGCCAGUCUGCGUGGAGCCAACCUUGAAAUACCACCCUUUAAUGGCUGGUGUUCUAACGUAGACCCGUAAUCCGGGUUGCGGACAGUGUCUGGUGGGUAGUUUGACUGGGGCGGUCUCCUCCCAAAGAGUAACGGAGGAGCACGAAGGUUGGCUAAUCCUGGUCGGACAUCAGGAGGUUAGUGCAAUGGCAUAAGCCAGCUUGACUGCGAGCGUGACGGCGCGAGCAGGUGCGAAAGCAGGUCAUAGUGAUCCGGUGGUUCUGAAUGGAAGGGCCAUCGCUCAACGGAUAAAAGGUACUCCGGGGAUAACAGGCUGAUACCGCCCAAGAGUUCAUAUCGACGGCGGUGUUUGGCACCUCGAUGUCGGCUCAUCACAUCCUGGGGCUGAAGUAGGUCCCAAGGGUAUGGCUGUUCGCCAUUUAAAGUGGUACGCGAGCUGGGUUUAGAACGUCGUGAGACAGUUCGGUCCCUAUCUGCCGUGGGCGCUGGAGAAUUGAGGGGGGCUGCUCCUAGUACGAGAGGACCGGAGUGGACGCAUCACUGGUGUUCGGGUUGUCAUGCCAAUGGCACUGCCCGGUAGCUAAAUGCGGAAGAGAUAAGUGCUGAAAGCAUCUAAGCACGAAACUUGCCCCGAGAUGAGUUCUCCCUGAGACUUUAAGUCUCCUGAAGGAACGUUGAAGACGACGACGUUGAUAGGUCGGGUGUGUAAGCGCAGCGAUGCGUUGAGCUAACCGAUACUAAUGAACCGUGAGGCUUAACCUU
rnacentral:rRNA from 1 species